CCUCCUCUCGCGCCGUUCGCCUCCCGCAGCCACGCCCUUCGCCGCAGCCUCGCGCCGAGCCACGGGAAGUCAUGCCCUUCACCGCUGCCUCGCGCUGUCGGAGCCACAGGAAGCCGCCGCAGGUCGCCGGGAGCCUCCCCAGCCGCGGAAGCCCACCCCCGCCGCAGGUCGCUGCCUCCCCAGCCGCCGGAGCCGCCCCCGCUGCUGUUCACCGCCUCCGAAGCCACAGCUUGGCCGCCGCCACUCUGCCUCCACCAUGCCGCCACUCCGCUGGAGUCGCAAGUAAGCUUCUAUUGCUGAACUCAUCUACACUGAGACCAAGCAAACCAAUUUCGUAGCCGCGGGAGCCACCGCCGGGAAGCCGCCCGUCGCGCCUUCCACCGCGGGAGCCACCGCGCCCUUCGCCGCGGGGGAGCCGCCGCGCGAGCCGCCCGCCGCGCCCUUCGCUGCCCGAGCCGCUCAGCUUGGCCUCUGCCGCGGGGACAACUUGCCCUCAUGCCACCCAACACGGUUUGCAGUCCGUCACAACCAUCCGAUAACUCACGCCAUACACUACAGGGUGGUCACCAACAGGAAUCUGAGGUGCUGCUAUUAUGCACGGUUAUGGAUAAACAGCGACGAUUUUGGAUAAUCUGGUCUAAGAGCUUCUGGAGAAAAAAAAUCCUAAUCAACCAGUUUGGCAAAAACAAUGCUAAGAUUAAGUUCAGCAAGGGAGCUGAACAACCUUUUACAGUAUCCACUCUCACAAAUACUAUGGCCUGGUAAACAACAAGGUAGCCAGCUGCUAAUAAAGACAAGCCCAUGAGGAGAACUGGAUAUAAUGUUAACUCAUGUUCAACUGUUUUGCCUUUUCCCCUGAAGCUUUGCAACUGCGAGGCUCCAGUCUCUGUUGAUCUUAAUGUAAGACCAGGAGAUGAAGUGAUGGAGAUGAAUUUAGCAUUUUAACAAAUCAAGCGGUCAAGCCACCAAAUCAUGAUCCUUUAAUGUUACAGUACAACUUCGAAAGGAUGAGAUACUUUUGGUUGCAUGCUUAACGACAACUAUUUGGUACCACUCAAACUGGACACCGAAGCAAUUUUGAACUCAUGUCAAACAUGUUUGCUAUUUCCUGCAAUUUUUCCCUUUUAUUUCUGCAUGAACUCCUCAGUAUGUACUUCCUGUUGCUAUAUAGUUUUUCCAUAUGCAAUCUGUGGACGAUCACACUCAGAAGUACAGUCGAUGGCUCUAUAUUUUUUAACUUGUCAGCUACCUUUAAAGCGAAUGUGACGAUGAAAACUUACCAUCAGUGCACUUUUCUAUAUAUUAUGUUUUGACAUCCCUACUAAAUUGCUAAGCCAGCGAGGAUAAAAGCUUGCCUUGCCUUUUUCCUUUUUCUCUGUACUGAUAAGAACCCGGUUGUUUUCCUCCUCUCAUGGCCCUGUUAAGUAUAGUCAAUAAACCUUUUCCUCUUAUUUUUGACACGAUCUCUGUUGAUGCAGGUCAUUUUACUAAUUUGAAAAGGUUGGCCGCUGAGAACUUCAUUUAUGCGCAUAGACCAUCCAUGGAUUAGAUAGGAUGUACGAUGCAGUGGCUACAUCGACCGCCCCGAGCUUGCUAAUGACUCUGGCCGGGCAGAUGAUGCCUUUGUGCAACAUUGCAUUGUUGUCGUACACACACUCCAAAACUGACAAAAUAAUUUGACCAUGUGUGCAUUUUCAAUCUCUAAAUCUCUGAUUGCUGAUGAUGUGAAGGAUGGUUGAAAGAACAAAAAUGCCUUACUGUUUAGUACUGCUCAAAUUUGGGUAAACAGUGUAGACCUGCACACCCUUUGAAUGGCACAGAGAAAACAUAUAGAAGUUUAUGGUCGUAUAUCGAGUUUAUUAUACUGUGAGCAAUUGGAGAUUUGACCAUUUCUAUCAGUUAUGGGUUAGUGAGGACAAAUUGGGGCGUAAAUCUGGAUGAUUUUAAGUUGUAUGUAGCCAAGUAGGUCAAGUCACCAGACUGUACGAGGCAACUGUUAUACUAACCCUCUGCAUGUUUAUGAAGAUUGAAGACACUUACUUUUGUUGCAGUCAUGAAGUGUCAGAGGUUGCAGGCUGAAGCCUUUUUCUAUCAUAGAAUUACUGCACCUCCCAUGUUCUAUUAAGAGGAAAAACGUAAGUAAUGGCCGCGCCCUUUCAUGGAAAUGUUUACGCAGUCAAUCCUACAUUGAUAGCAAUGUUUUAAACUGUGUUAAAAAACUCAAAGUUUUAAACUAUAUCUAAGAUAUGCUUGCUACUGUAUGUAUAAUUUAGCAAGCGGUUAAAUAUGUGCAGAGAACUUUCCUAGGUUUGUCUGGUGAAGAAUUGACAAGAAUGCACUAGAUUUGGUUUGCAAGUUCUGUACGCAUUGUUUUCAUCACCUUGUGUCGUAGCGGCGAUAUUUAUGUGGUGGCCUGUAGUCAAAACAUAGGAAAGACUUUGCAGGAGAUAGAAGUUUCGAUCUUACAAACACAAUGAAGGUACCCCUCUGCUCUUUCCUUAGACAAACCAUUCCAGAUGAUGAUCAUGUCAUAUUUUAUUUUUGAUAAUCAAAGUGAAUUUCUUUGAAAUCAUGUGUUUGUGGCAAUGACAUUAUGAGACGGAGGGAGUAACACAUAAUGGAGCAUGGAGAAGGAAAUGUAGAUUCUGCUUGUCUCCAAUUGUGUUUUGGGCAUGUUGUUUUGUAUUGAACACAAAUAUAUAAUCAGUUGUUUUUUCAAAGUUUAUCCUUCAUCAUGUUAUUUUUUCAUUUUCACAUGAAAACUUUUGGGCGAGGAGACUAGGAACAGAGAUUUUUCAGUUCUGAAGGCAAUGGUAUAACAACCGUGUGUUUUCAGUUUUUUCAAAUGAAUUUCACACUAUCGCUAGAGCAUCUUCAGUGAAAUGCAGCCCUGUUCAUUUAUCUUGACCAUUAAAAGUUGAACACUCCUUCGAGUGAAAUAUCGAUGUCACCUACUUAUGGUGUGUGUACUAUGUUUUGCUCUCACUAUACUACAAUAAGAAUAUUAUUCAUUGUUCACCACGGUUUCAUAUUUCAAUGCCUGCAGGUAUUUCACCCAUGGAUUUCGAGUCGCUCGACUAGUCGCGACUAGUCGUCGACUAGUCGACGAGUCGCAGUUCCAGGGCCGACUCAGCCUCUCGACUCGACUCCUGGGAUGAGUCGAGCGACUCGCGCGACUAGUCUCGACUAGUCACGACUAGUCAUGACUAGUCGCGGUUUUUGGGUCGAACGACUCGAGGUAGCGCUGGAUCUGGAGCACUCUCCCGCCGCCGUGCUGCUGCUGCUGCUGUGCUGCCUCGCUGCUGCUGCUGCGCCCUUGCCGCCGUGCUGCUGCUGCUGCUGAAGCUGAAGCGGCAAGAGGAGCAGGCUGGGAGGAGGAGCGGUGGCAAGAGAGCUGCUGCGGGGGAGUUGAGAGAUCCAUCGCUGGGAGGAGUGGUGGACUGGUGGCAAGAGAGUGGCAGCAGAAUGUGUGGCGGCUGUGGUGAGGGAGGAGGGAGUGUGGAUGGUGGAUUAGGUCACAGGAGGAGUAUAUAGCUACUAGAUGGGCUUUUGGGCCACAGGGAAGUGCAUAACUAGUGGCCCAUCUCUCAGUUGGCCCUGGUUACUGCUGCUGGUGGUGUGCUCCUCCCCUCCUCCCCUGGUUGCUGCUGCUGCUGUGCACUUGUGCUCCUCCCCUGACUGCCUGCUGCUUAACUCGCGUUGACUCGUCGCCAUGUCGACUCGUCGACCGUGAGUCUAGACUAGUCACGACUAGUCUAGAGUCGCCCUCCCCGAGCGACCCGUCGACUCAUCGACUCGAAAACAUUGAUUUCACCGGGAGAACAAGUUUGUAGAUACCUACAAUAUAAAUACUGAUUUUCUUGUUCUCUGUUUUUAUUGACAUUUUCAAUUAUGCAAUAUGAGUUUUUUUGCGGGUAAUUGUGCAAUAUGAGUUGAAAUGAAUAAAAUAGCACAAGUAUUAUUGUUGACUAAUUAUUAAAGUACCUCCCUUCCAAGAAGCCCUUGAACAAAGAACAAGGGAAUUUCGGAGUCCUGGUUUCACUACCUCCGAGGAUGUGGGAGCCGCCACCACCAUUGCUUCGUUCCAGAACUAAUGGUCCAAGACCGCAUCCCCAUGGCCAAUAAGCUGCUGCGCUACAGAUGGACAGGCAGUGAGAUUUGACCGGCGUGUAGCUCUUGCCAAGAGACGACAGAUCACAUGUUCUUUUCUUGCAGCUUUGUGAGGCAGCUAUGGCCAACAGUGGCCUUUUGGUCGUGAUACCAGGUGUUGUCUCCCCCAGUUCCUAGAACAUCACUCCCAUCUACGACUGGUGGAUGGAGACCAGGUUCCAAAGGAGGAGAAAAGGCAUUUUCAUGGGGUCACCUUGUACUGCACUUGGCAAAACUUGAAAAGAUUGGAACAGUCAUAUUUUUUGCACGACUACAUGGGAGUCAAGAUCAGAUAGUUAGUGAGGAUGAGGGAACAUGCCUUUGUUAGAGUUGUUUUGGAUGCAG